UACGAAGGGGGCUAGCGUUGCUCGGAAUCACUGGGCGUAAAGCGCACGUAGGCGGAUUGCUAAGUCAGGGGUGAAAUCCUGGAGCUCAACUCCAGAACUGCCUUCGAUACUGGAGAGCUUGAGUCCGGGAGAGGUGAGUGGAACUGCGAGUGUAGAGGUGAAAUUCGUAGAUAUUCGCAAGAACACCAGUGGCGAAGGCGGCUCACUGGCCCGGUACUGACGCUGAGGUGCGAAAGCGUGGGGAGCAAACAGG
rnacentral:rRNA from 1 species